rnacentral:rRNA from 1 species
GCUAGAUUAAACUUCGUCUGGUGCUACCUGCUCAGUGCCCCCUAAGUCAAAGCGUAAAAUGCUUGGAAGGGGGGUAAAUAGCCGCGGAAAGCCUAAACCGUGAUAAUUAUAAGCAUAAUCUGAUAUCGUUUAAUUGGCGGGGAGUUGAAUGGUGCCACGAGGGCAGCCUUGUCUCAGACAGAGAGCCUAUGAAGCUGAAGUAGAAGUUAAGAUGCUUCUUAAAAAUGAAAGACGAGAAGACCCUAUUGAGCUUUACUAUACUCAUUUUUCAGUAGUCAGAAGGAGAUUGAAGUAACGAGUUAGAACCUUUGCUGGGCAUCGUAAUAAUCUUCAGGAUACACUGUUUAGAAUGGGGGGUAGUUUAGGUGGGGCGCCUGCGCGUUAUUAUAAACAUGCUGCUAUCAAUAUGGACCUAACAACCCAUUUACUGUGUAAGAUAUUUCUUUAACAGUUAUUAGCGUAGGAUAAAAGACCCGAUGGAGUGCGAAUGAGUGCUACAUCAUCACAAGAUAAAAGUUACCAUAGGGAUAACAGAGUUAAGCCUGGCUAGCAGUACAGAUGUUUGCCUAGGUUUGCCA